UACGGGGGGAGCAAGCGUUGUUCGGAUUUACUGGGCGUAAAGGGCGCGUAGGCGGCCAGCACAAGUCAGUUGUGAAAUCUCCGAGCUUAACUCGGAAAGGUCAACUGAUACUGUGCGGCUAGAGUGCGGAAGGGGCAACUGGAAUUCUUGGUGUAGCGGUGAAAUGCGUAGAUAUCAAGAGGAACACCUGCGGCGAAGGCGGGUUGCUGGCCGACACUGACGCUGAGGCGCGAAAGCUAGGGGAGCGAACGGG
rnacentral:rRNA from 1 species